GUGAUAUGGCUAUGGAUUUAUUGGAUGAAUACUCUUCAAAGCAAAGUGUUGGAUUCUGUUGCCGCGCCCUCUAGUUCGCUUGGUGCAGGUCGGGAACUUAAUUCGCCGAUUGCGUGUGAAUUUUGCGGUGAAUUUGAGCUCUCCAAUCGUACAUGAUGCGUGUGCGUGGUGAAAAAACAUUUGAUUGCCGCUCAAUUUGGCGAAAAUCAGGUUCCUGCCUUGCAUCAACUGAAUCGGAGGCCGCGGUGAAUGAUUAUUUAUUGGAUUCACGUGGAUCUGCGAUUGAUAUGGCUGAAGGUACCUGGCAUUGAUAGCUUAGAGAUUAUGAUCUACGUGCACAUCUUUCUGGAUUAGUUUUCGGUGAUGUGGUGCCGUGGACGAGUUUGAUAUGAACAGGGAUUUUUCAUUUUUGCAAGAAUUUGAUCAAAGAAAAGAUCUCCAUAAAGAUGAUGGAUUUAAGAGUUGGAGGUGUGGAAUGAAAAUUUGAAUUAUUCACCUUAGUGUGACUACUGACUAGUUUCAUCAAUUCUUCAGUGUGACGAUGGUAAACAGGUAAAAGGACAGAGAAAAGCAUAGAGCUAAAGUCAGCGGAUCCAUUGAUACACUGAUACUGUCUGAAGGCAUGACUAUGGUGCAAAUUCUUGACCUAUAAAUUGUUUCUACAUUAAUAUCUACAUUGAUCUCUUGGAUGCAGCUAUAAAUGAAUUUAUAUUCUACAAAAAAAAAUGGGGAAGAAAAAAUGUUACUGCUCCUACUAUUUAUUUAAUCAUUUUUACUGCUGAUAUGCGAAAUGGAUCGUAUACUCAUUAGUUUCUUUUCAUAAUAGUCUUUUUAUUCAUGUUUCUUUUUGUCCAAACUGUGUACUUAUCAGAUUUAAGCAGUUAUCAAUUUUAGGAGCUGAUGAGAUAAUUAGAUUUCUGAAAAUAACUUGUUGGAGUGAGCUACUGAUGAGAAUUAGUCCUGUAAUUUGUUUGUAUUUUGGGCCGGCUAAGGGUAUAAUGAAGGAUUUCUAAUUCUUUACA